UACAGAGGUCUCAAGCGUUGUUCGGAUUCAUUGGGCGUAAAGGGUGCGUAGGUGGCGCGUUAAGUCAGGUGUGAAAUUUCGGAGCUUAACUCCGAAACUGCAUUUGAUACUGGCGUGCUUGAGGACUGGAGAGGAGACUGGAAUUUAUGGUGUAGCAGUGAAAUGCGUAGAGAUCAUGAGGAAGACCAGUGGCGAAGGCGGGUCUCUGGACAGUUCCUGACACUGAGACACGAAGGCCAGGGGAGCAAACGGG
rnacentral:rRNA from 1 species